AAAUGAAUACCUUAAUAAAAUGUUUUUUUUAAAUCGUGAAACGGGAUGAAAGUUUCUAGGACAUCACAGUAAAAGGGUCAUUAAGUAUUUAGGUGUAUUUGAAACACUGCAGGUUGAAAAAUUGAUGUUUGCUCAAAAAUAUUUGUUGAAAUUGAAUUCAUGACAGAUUUCAUGUUGCAAAAUAUGAAAUCUGGGCUUGGAGCUGCAGGACAAUGCAGCUCAGUCAACUUAUGAUCUUUAGCUGUAUUGGAACAAUGACCGAUAAAAAGAUUAAUACAGAAACGUAAUUUGGCUCAUUUACAGUCUUGUCUGAGGAUUAGCAGCAUCAACAUGCUGGGAUUGAACAGUUUCAGUCCUGAAGCUCCUUGUGUACGUAAUUAGCAUCACACCUAAAUUUACAGUAACUGUCAGAGCAAUGUUUACAUUUAUAAUCUCUAAUUGACUCAACAUCUGAUUAACAGCAAAAACAACAGUUUUUUGCAUAAUGGGAUAUAAAAGUAUAUCCAAGGUUCAGGAAACAGGUCAGGCUAACUGGUGCACAGCGAACCUGCGACUGAUUUUAUGUUUACAUUUAAAAGUCUUGUUCUUAUUUUCUCUGAUGAAACUUUGAGAACAUGGAGUGAAACUGUCUGCGCGUCCAGUUCAGUGUGUCAGUAACAACCAACAGAACUAAGACAAAAUGCUGCUGCAUUUCUGAGAUCAUUUAUCUUUUCCAGAUGCAUUUCGCUCCCAUUACUUCCGGGUUCAUUGAAAGGUCACGCGGAUAAUGACGUUAACGUCAAACGUCAGUCUGACUUUUACCGUAAUAAACCGUGUGAGCGGAGCUAAUUUUAGCAGAGAGCUAACCUCCGCCGUUUUGACUGACGCCGCUGCCGGCCUGCAGCUCCCAUCCCCGAUGAAGAAGCUUCAUUAACUCUCCCGCUGCUGCUCCGUGGACAGAAACCCGACAAAACGCGAAGGACGGCGCUCCGACUGCCGCCAUUGUACCGGAGAGAAGCACGAGUCUGCGCACUGGGGUCAGAGGCUGGACCCGCCAAUCACGGAGUAGAACACCCGGAAGUCCCGCCCACAUUACGUUUUGUUGCUGCCAUGUUCUGAGUGGCAUUUUCUUCACAAUAGAAGCUGAAUUUGUAGCACAUUUCUUUUCAAGCUGUUUAUUCCGUGAUGCAUUUGCAACAUAGAACUCUCUUUCACAUGAAGUAUAUUUUUAAUAUAUCGAAUAAUUAAAUUAACUUUAAUGUGAUGAAAUAAGCUAAGUUUUACAUAUGCCCAGUAAAAGUUAAACAUUUCUAAACCACCAUUGAUUCAAAAGGUGAAUUUUAGAUUUCAUUUAGACUAAUUAAUUUUUUCCAGCCAAUUGAACAUUUUAAAAAAGAACUUCAACUAUAUCCUUUAAAUUAAAUUAAAUCCAAAUGCUUCAACUAUUACAGUGAUAGUUGCACAAUAACAUAAAACUGAGAAAGUAUAUAUUUCAUAAUUAAAUCACGUCACCACAUUGAUAUGAAAUAUUUUGGUUUCCUAUUGAAGGAUAAAUAAUUAUCCAUUCAGAAAGUUCCUUGUUCUUUUUAGUGUAACUUGUUUAUAUCAUAUAAAAAUAUUUUAGCAAAAGCUG